UACGUAGGGGGCGAGCGUUGUCCGGAUUCAUUGGGCGUAAAGAGCUCGUAGGCGGUUCGGCAAGUCGGGUGUGAAAACUCCAGGCUCAACCUGGAGACGCCACCCGAUACUGCUGUGACUCGAGUCCGGUAGGGGACCACGGAAUUCCUGGUGUAGCGGUGAAAUGACGCAGAUAUCAGGAGGAACACCGGUGGCGAAGGCGGUGGUCUGGGCCGGAACUGACGCUGAGGAGCGAAAGCGUGGGGAGCGAACAGG
rnacentral:rRNA from 1 species